GCCGCUGUAUCCCAGAUGAUAGAGGCGUCGCCAGUAUAGAUAGGUCGCUGGUUCAAAUCCAGCCUGCGGUG